rnacentral:lncRNA from 1 species
CCUUGCAGAAUCCUUCACUAGUGGUGGAUGCAUGCUUGGUGCACCAAUGCCAACAUAACUGUCCUUGGGAGCAUUUCCACUGUCAACAGGCAUAGCCUCCCUAGGAGUGUAGCGGGUUUGGGAGAAGACAGUUCUGCCCUUCUCGUAGUGCGAUUUGGAACUGUAGGAAUAGAUUGGGAUGACACCCAACUGUUCAACAAUGCUGGCCUGAGAGCUACCAGAGACACCAUCUUCAGUGCUUUCGUAGUGCUUCUGCUGAGACAUUGGGGCAAGUUGCUUCUGGGGCAUUUGAGCUACAUGCCAUAAUUGCUGAGGCACGGGGGUCAGUUGCUUCUGCGGUAGAGGCAUGGAGGCCAGUUGCUGCUGGGACAUUUGAGCUGGAUACCACACUUGCUUGGGUAUGGCGGUCGGUUUCUCCUGCGGAAGAGGCAUGGAGGCCGGUUGCUUCUGCUGCUGGGGAAAUUGAGCUGGAUGCCACACUUGCUGAUGUGUCUGAAGCAUGGCGGUCAGUUCAAUUUGCUGCUGAGGUUCAGUAGCUGGUUGCUUCUGCUGCUGAGGCAUUUGAACUGGAUGCCACACUUUCUGAUGUGCCUGCGGCAUGGCGGUCAGUGCAGCGACUUGUUGCUUCUGGACCAUUUUAGCUGGAUACCACACGUCGUGAGGCUGCUGGGGCAUAGGGGCCGGUUGCUUCUGCGCCAGAUGCCACACUUGCUGAAGCAUGGCAGCCGGUUGCUUAUGCUGCUGGGGAAUUUGAGUUGUUUGCCACAGUUGGGGUAUGGCGGUCAGUUCCUUCUGCGGUAGAUGCAUAGGGGCUGGUUGCUUCUGCUCCGGGGGAAAUUGAUCUGGAUGCCACACUUGCUGAGGUGGCUGGGGCAUUGCGGUCAGUUCAAUUUGCUGCUGAGGUUCAGCGGCCGAUUGCUUCUGCAGCUGGGGCUUUUGAGCUGGAUACCAUGCUUGCUGGGGCAUGGCAGUAUGUUGCUUCUGCAGCAUUUGAGCUGGAUGCAACACUUGCGGCGGCAUGGUGGCCGGUUGCUUCUGCGGCAGAUGCAUUGGGGCUGGUUGAUUCUGCAGCAUGGUGGCCAGUUGUUUCUGCUGCUGGAGCAUUUGAGCUCGAUACCACGUUAGCUCGGGCAUGGAGGUCAGUUGUGUCUGCAGCAUUUGAGCUGGAUGCCACCCUUGCUGGGGCACGGCGGUCGGUUGCUUCUGCGGCAGAGGCAUGGAGGCCAGAUGCUUCUGGGGCAUUUGAGCUGGAUACCUAACUUGCUGGGGUAUAGUGGCCUGUUGCUUCUGCUGCUGAGGCUCAGCAGUCGGUUGCUGCUGAGGCUCAGCAGUCGGUUGCUGCUGAGGCUCAGCAGUCGGUUGCUGCUGAGGCAUUUGAGCUGAAUACCACACUUGCUGAGGUUGCUGGGGUAUGGCGGUCAGUUCCUUCUGCGGUAAAGGCAUUGGGGCUGGUUGCUUCUGCUCCUGGGGAAAUUUAGCUGGAUGCAUCACUUGCUGAGGUGGCUGGGGCAUGGCAGUCGGUUCAAUUUUCUGCCGAGUUUCAGCAGCCGGUUGCUUCUGCUGCUGGGUACAUUGAGCUGGAGUCCACACUUCCUGGGCCAAGGCGGUCGAUUGCUUCUGGGGCAUUUGAGCUGGAUACCACACUGCUGGGGCAUGGCGUCAGUUGCUUCAGCAGCAUUUGAGCUGGAUGCCACACUUGCUGGGGCAUGGCGGCCGGUUGCUUCUGCGGCAUUGGGGCUGGAUACCAUGCUUGCUGUGGCAUAGCUGUUGGUUGUUUCUGCGGUAUAGGCAUUGGAGCCAGUUGCUUCUGGGGCAUGGUGGUCAGUUCCUUCUGCUGCUGAGGACCAGUAGCUGGUUGCUUUUGCUGCUGGGGAAUUUGAACUGGAUACCACACUUGCUGAGGUAGCUGGGGUAUGGAGGCCUGUUCCUUCUGAUGCUGAAGUUCAGUAGCUGGUUGCUUCUGGGGCAUUUGAGCUGGAUACCACGUUUUCUGAGGUGCCUGGGGCAUGGGGACCAGUUGUUUUUGCAGGAUGGCAGCCGGAUGUUUCUGUUGCCCUUCGGUCAGCUGCGCUUGCAUUUGAGCUGUUGGAGAGCUGUAAUUACCAUAUCCUUUAGACCCAAGUGAGCCUGCAUAGAGCCAUGCUGCAUCAGACCCUAGUGCAGGAUACCCAUCACCUAGGUUAGAAAAAGUAAAGUAUAAUGCCAGCCUUUGAAGUUACUGGAACCGCAACUGUUAUUUGAAAUUAAUGUGUAGAAACUCACUUGAUGUAGAACAGGUUAUCCCUCCAAUUAGCAGGCAACAAAGCCAAGAAACUCU